UUCAGAGUUGAGUGAGGGUGGGCAUGCGGAAUUCCCACCGUCCAAGAUCACAUUCCCUUCUAGAUGGUUCUCCUUCCUGCCCAUCCGCCAGGGCCCAAGUGGUGUUUCCGUUACUCUCUGGAUGGUUCCAACCUUCGAGCCUGCUAGAAGAGGCCCAGUUGGUACGGUAAUACUUAUUCACCAAGCUGGUCAUCGACGAGAGUGAGGAUAUCCUAGACGGAGCAAGAAUGGGCAGAGGCUGAAGGUAGAGGUUUGGUUUUUUUUCUCCUUUUUUUUAUAUAUAUAUGUAUAUAUAUACAAGACACAUUAAUCCAUUAAGUUUGAGGACACAGUACAAAAAAAAAAACACUUCAACUAAUUCAUAUGACAAUGCUG